GGCCCGGUGGCAUGUGGCAUGCAUCUGCACACCAUCGGUUGGCCCGUCAUUGAAUCAUUUCGAGCUGAGCAGAUAACCCGGUUCGAUUCCGGGCUGGGCCA